rnacentral:pre_miRNA from 2 species
GUUAUACUCCCUCCGUCUCAAAAUUCUUGUCUUAUAUUUUUCUAGAUAUGAAUGUACCUAGUCACGUUUUAAUAUUUUGAUACAUCCAUUUUUAGACAAAUCUAAGACAAUUUUUUUUAGACGGAGGGAGUACCUU